UCAUUUCUCUACUUCUCCUCUCUCUACUUUAUCCCUCUCUCUGUCUUGCUAGCGCGACCAGCAGGCCGCGAGCUGCCGCCGGCCGCGGAGGCGCGCGAGCCACCGCUGGCACCCGCGGAGCGGGCUGCCGCUGAGCGCACGAGCAUGCAGCUGGCCGCUGGCCGCUGCCGGCCAUGCAGCGCGCGAGCCACCGCUGGCAGCCGCGGAGCGGGCUGCUGCUGAGCGCACGAGCAUGCAGCUGGCCGCGGGCCGCCGCCGGCCAUGCCGCGCGCGAGCCACCGCCGCGGUGGAGGGCACCGGCCGCCACGGAGCACGCGGGCCGGCCGCCGCCGCCGCCGACACGAAGCGCGCGGGCCCGCCGCCACCACAAAGCACGAAGCUUACCGCCGCGCAGAGUGGGCCGCCGCCGGCCACUGCGGCGGGAGCGCUCGAGCAGCGGGGAUGCAAGGGGAAUGGGAGGGGAUGCAAGCCGCGUGGACGGCCUGGCCAAACUCCGGUGGGCGGCGCGGCCAGACCCAGCGAGCGGCGGCGCGGCCAGACCCGGCGAGCGGCGGCGCGUACGGGCUGGCUGAUGGAGGCUGAUUUUUUUUAUUGUUAAAAAUUACAUUUGUCCCGGUUCUAUAGCCGUCGGGAUAAAAUGUCGGACACAUUUAUCCCGGACGAGCAGUCCCGGUUGAAAAACCGGGACAAAAGCCCCUCACCAACCGGGACUAUAUGCACUUUCUGUAGUAGUGAAGGAUGGACGAAACUGAAUGUGGAUGCUCCCUUCGACCAAUCUUCAGGAGAAGCAAACAUAGGAAUCACGGUCAGAGAUCAUUCUGGGAAGAUGCUGCUGUCAGCUUGGAAGCAUGGCAUUCGUUGUGUAUCGGUGGAGGAUGCUGAAGCUGUGGCCUGCCUUGAAGGGGUUCAGUUAUCAAAUGAAUGGAUCAAGAAACCAACUGUAAUCGAAUCUGACUGUCAUAAUGUGGUAAAGUCCCUGCUUUCCAAUGCUGAAAACAGAGCUAGCUUCUCCAACAUUGUGAAAGAAAUAAAGUUUGGUAUGUUUGCAAUUCCAGAGGUAAAAGUGUGCAAAAUUGCAAUAAGGUAGCCCAUGAGUUAGCCCAGUUAGCAAAAUGACGUACGCAUUCGACGGUUUGGAGAGAUAAUCUCCUUCCUGCGUUCAUGAGCUUGUAAGCAUUGAUUGUAACCUUUAUCAAAUUAAUGAAAUAAACUCCUUCUAAAAAAUAAUAAAGAUAUGCUUGGAUA